rnacentral:misc_RNA from 1 species
AAACAAUAAAAGCUUUUAGUGUGCACGGAAGAACAUAAAUGGGUAAAUAAAAUUUAAGCUUAAAUUUGCCCACUUUCACCAGGUUCUUGGCUUUUUCUGAUCUGCAAGCUGUUACGAACUCAUCAUGCUCUCUUUUUUUCUAGGAAGUGCAGAAACAGGGAAAAUUAUGACAUUUGAGAUCAAUGCCUAAAAUAAUUUUGCAAUAAUAGAUGCCUUUGUAAUUAUGGAACAACAGUAAGCUCAUGGCAACAAUAUAAUCCAAAAGGCACGUUAUUCUUCACAAGAACAUGAACCGAAAUCUUUUUUAGGAACGGAAUAAAAUUUUUAAGGGUAUAUAUAGCAAGAUCAAGACAAGUUGGAUGAGAAAUAAAAAUCAAGCAGUUGCCUUGAAUUUCUUUGUAAUGCCAGCAAAGUAUUUUCCCUGGUGGAAAGCUUGCUCAAGCUCUAGCUUAGAAGGCUGUCUGGAACCAUCCCCAGCGUAGGUUCCUGAACCAUAAGGGCUGCCACCCUUCACCUUCUCCAUCUCAAACAUGCCGGCUCCAAAUGUAUAUCCAAUGGGAACAAAGAUCAUUCCAUGGUGAACAAGCUGAGUGAUGGCAGUCAACGGAGUGGUCUCCUGUCCACCUCCCUGAGAACCAGUGCUGUAGAAAAUUCCUGCAGGUUUGCCCGCAAGCGCUUGUGUUCUCCAUAGCCCCCCAGUUGCAUCCAUAAAUGCCUUAAACUGUGCAGCCAUCAUUCCAAAUCUAGUAGGGAAACCAAAAAGAACCCCAUCAGCCUCAGUUAGCUCGCUUGGAGUAAUGAUAGGUACAUCACUCUUUGGUGGUGCACCCAUUUUCCCAAGAACAUCUUCUGACAGUGUUUCAGGUACCUGUUGAUGUGCCAACUAUAAUCAAUAAGGCAUAUCUAAUUCUUACUUUGGAAUAGAGAAAACCAAACACUUAGAAAUGAAAUGCACUUAUAUUAUUAUUCCAGCGAAAAUUCAAAUAUUUUUUACAAGCUAAUAAUGGAAUCAAGUUGAAGAUUCUCAAGGAACAUAUAUUUAGAUGGAGUCAACUAAAAUUAGAAUUGUAUCUUGUCAAAAAAUCAACUCAGCUGGCUUUUAUGUUCUUGAAGAAAUAACAAUUUUCCCUUCCAAAAGAAAUAAAAUAAAAUAAAAAGAUACCUUCUUUGACAAGGCAGUCUUGUCCAGCAUAAGCAAGCAAGCAAGUGCCCGUUAUGAGGUUCCCCACAACAAGGUCAUGUGAGGGAAAAAUGGGGAAAGGAUGCAUCCUUCACUUUCAAUGAAGUGCAUGCUCUCCAGAUUUAAAUCAGUGAUCUCAUACGUGUCUGCCUAGAUUUCUCCCAGACAAUGGCUAUGUUAUUCAAGGCAAAUUUCUGAGCAGACUGGCAAAAGUCAAUAUAGUUUACAGGAUUUUAAAACUACUCUGGCCAGCCAGCUACAAAGGAAAUCAAAUCCUUCAAACUUUAUUUACAUCAAAUUGAAAGAACAUCCCCAUCAGUGAAAGAAAGCAUGCUCUAACUGACAGUAUAUUUUCUUAUGUUCUAGUCACUAUGCUUUGUUCAACCUGAAAAAUGUCUAACAUCAUACAGACUGAUAGACAUUUAAAUGACAAGACAAACAAGCUUAUCGACCCAAUAGUUCAAAAAGUUAAAUUGCAAACAAAAUUACAAACCUGCCACAGUGUCACUUCCACUCCUUCAACUGAUGCAGCUCCUUUCUUUAUCUCUUCAGCAAGUUUUGCAACAUGUCCGUACAUGGAAUAGUAACUGCAUAAGGCAUCAAUGAUCAUAUAGAUUCUAGCACAAUAAACAUGAAAAACAAAAUAUAUACAGUUCAGGGGAAACUAUAUAUAUUACAUUUUUUUUAUUGACUUUAUUUCCAGGCUGUUAUCAUUGGGAUAAUCUUUCAAUGCUUGAUGCUGAAAGGGAAAAGGAUUUUUAGCACAAAAGCAAUAAAAUUUUUCUGUAAGUUACCUCAUUGAAUGAUAGUGAAAGGAGAAAGGAAGUUUGGUAGGACAAUAACAACACAUAUAAUAUCAGUGUAAUGGCUACAUAGGCCUACAUCAAGGGAAAUAUCUUUUUAACUAGAUGCCAUAAAAAGGCAGUAUAAUCACCAUAAUUGCAUGGACGUAGGUGCAGAGAAAAGAAAAGACGUGCUUGUAGCCUUUGAACAAAUUUUUUCUUUCACCGGACAUCAUUGCUUUACUUCAAUAAAUCCACCAUUUGUACAAAUCGGGAGUAGUUUGUUUCCAGAAUUAAAAUAGAACAUUUAGAUGCUGUUCCUUGUGCAUUCCAGGCCAUGAAAAUGAAAGCCAUUUGUGAUGUUUUAUGCAUAUUAAAUUACAUGCCAAGAACUAGUUUCAAUAAUGAUGACUACUGGGACCACAUGAUCUAAAAGUAUGGGGCUGGCAUUAAUUCCUCUCUAAAUUAUAAUUUCAACGAGUAGGUCCAAUUUCACAAUCACUUUUUCUUGGCUAACACCUAAUUAUGUCAAUAAGUUUUUGCAAUCUUCUUGUUUAAAUCUCUGGCUCCAUUUAUUAUACCUAAGACCUUCAGGAGUUAUAUAUGCUUUAAUAAUUGUCAUUUAUCACUAUGAGUGGCAAAGAUUGAAAAAUAUGAAUUUUUUCACUCUUAAGAUCCAUCUGUCAAAUGUGGAAGAGAACAAAAAUCACCGACGGUCUCCACUGAGCAGGAAAAAAAAUAGAACAGAAAAGAGAAAAAUAAAUUUUUUAGGGCCACAAGUUGUUCAGAUAUUGUCAUAUAUCAACCCUUAUAAAUUGGUAAAAGACAUGUGUUGCUUGUUAUCCAAUCUCCAUGUGUUUUAUUUUUCUUUUAGCUUUCUAUCUAUCAAAACAUUCCCAGCUUGUACAAGAAACAAAAGGGAAGAGCAAUAUGGAAAACCUAGAUCCACAGCCCAUAGUUCAAGCACACAUAAGGCAAAACGUCUUGGCCACUCCGCAAUCUUUUUGGCCCAACAUAAAGUAUAUACAUCCUCAGCCCCUCAUUCCAAUGAAUUAGAAAUCAAUCAAGAAUGGCAAUAUCGGUCACAGGAAUUUUAGAAGUCUAUCUUUUCUAGUUCUGGCUUCAUGUAUUCCUACCCAGAAUAAAUUAAAAUCCGUGGUACUGUACUCCAACAAAUGACCCGCUGUGAAUUAAAAUCCAUGAUAUUGAUUCCCAUAGCUAAGAGUGGAUAAAUUAUUAAAUUUCCAGCAUCAAGAUCAAAUGGAGCCUUAUAACAAAAUUUUCCAGGAGCUAUUUUCUAUCAAAGAAAAAAAUAAAGGACUAUGCACAACACAAAUUAUUAAAAAAGAAAAAAAGCCUCCAAAAUAAUGAAAAGAGCAAAGCCCAUUAAUCAUCAAGGUAAAAUACAUAAAAAUAAAUCAAGAAAUGAGCAGCUAAACUUUAAUGCACAGCAGGAAACAAAUCAAUAACAGGGCAGAAAAAUGAGAGGAUGAGGGGGUGAGUAAACCGAGAAGAUAAGAGAGAAGAGAAAGA